UAAUCCUGACAGCUCAUAUUAGAGGGAUUAAAUUCUCAUCCUGCAGGAAGCUACCUCAGAAUCUCAACCAGCAGCCUGGGUCUGGAGGCAAAAAGGAGGUGAGAGCCCUCUCCUCCCCUGGCACAAAGAGGUGUCAAUUUAUAUUGAACUCAAACCUCUCUGAAGAAAAUGAAGGUCACAGCACAUUCCUAAGCAGGAAAGCUCAUGGUCCUUGCAUUGACUGUCUUGGAGAGGGAGAUAAUAUGUGAACGAGAGUAUUGCUGUUGCUGUCUGAUGGAUGGAGUUUCAGAGAUAAAGGAUGAGCAUAAGACAGAAGAACAUGCCAAAACAGAGGGUCUUGUGAACAUCUGUCUACUUUUCAACACUGACUGCCACGAUUUUCCAGAGAAAAUUGAGGCACGAGAAAAAGAAGACUUGAGCAAGAGAGCAUUUAGCAAAAUCGGCCCGAGAACCAAGGACACUGCUGCAGCUUCAGGCCCAAAAAGUGUAAACAGCAGUGAAUUGAGGAGAGCAAAUUGGAAGAUGGGACUCCAUAACCUGAAGCUGUAAUUGGACAAUGAACCCCAAAAUGUAAAUGGACUGAAAUUUAUAGAAGUGUGAAAAUGUGUGACCCGUCAUACAUCUUGGGUGUAGCCCUGGCCAGGCUCUCUUUCUGCCCAAGAUGUAUCCUUUGAAAGCAUUUAAUAAAACCUACCUUAAUUCUUUAACUCUGUCUAGCCUCUGCUCUAAGUAGCCUCCCAAGACACCAGCAUGGCUUUCCCUAAAGCAACUUGUCAUGGACACAAGGCUCAGGGACACCCCCAAGCACUCUUGACGUGUCCAGCCUGGACACCUGACUCAAGGCAGUGCUUGUUUCCUCAACACAUCAGCAUGGGGAGCAGAGAGCACUCCCCUAUGCUCAGGGACUGAGCCAUGUGGAGAUUCGAUGUGAAUUGUAAUUUAAAGCCUUUAUCUAAAUACUCUUUCCUAGCAUAGUUCAAACAGUGGAAGCCGAGCUGACAGGUUAAUCCCAUUGUCAGGAGAUUUCACUAUUUCCAAAGCAGGUUUUGUCUGGAUUUGGAGUGAAAAACCCCCGAGGCUGCUGCUCAUCCUGGGAGGGAGCAGCAUCCCUGUGGGCAGAGGAGAUGGUGGAAAAUGGGGCAGGGUUCAGCCAAAUCCAAGCUCUGCCAGAACUGUUUCUAAAACUAGCAAAUUAUGGAACAUUUGAUCUUGUUAGCUGGAAUUUUCAACAAUAAAAACAGUCAAUAUUUUUUCCUCUUUCCUGAGCAGCCCUAAUCUGGUAAUACACAAUUAUCAUGUGUCCAAAAACAUAUCAGCAAGCCACAAAGCUUGCAGGUUUACCUUCAAAAACUCAAACGCUUUAUAACCUCUUUGAGUACUUGGAUCCUUUUAUUCAUCUUGUCUUCUGAAAAUGGAGGGAGAGGCUAGAUGAGAACAGCUGUUCUUUAAACAGUUCUCAGCACAGAUGAGAUAAUCUUAACUUUGUAUUUGAGCACCCACCCUGCCCACCUUCCUCUGAUUCCAGGUCUGAUCUGUACCCACAUAAGCAUAAGACCAGCCUCUGGCUAAGGUUUGAGUGUCACUGAAAACCCACAAGAAAUAAUUACUCUUCCUGGAAAGACUUGUCCCAACGAGUGAAAAUCAUUUCAUAAUGGCUUGUAAGAUUAUAAUUCUUCAGUCUCCAAGCCCCAGUGAUACAAUAAGAUAAUAAAUCUCACUGAAGAGUGAAGUGUGCUGUAAUUGAUGGGAAUAUGUAGACAGAGAAUGUAAAUCUUGAAGUACACCUGGAGCACCUGAACAGGUGAUAUGUGCACAGUGAAGAUCACAGAACUGGGCGUUUUGUACUUGGCAUCAUUAAAAUCUGUUUGCCAAGCUUGACUAUAGGUGUGAAUUCUGAUCUCAGUUUUCCAUACUUCAUUUGAAGGCAUGAUCUGUUAAUUCCAGUGAUGCUGCUGAUGAUCUGUGUUGCUGAAAAGUAGCAUUAGGUCACAGUCCUGCUUUCUCAAUUUGGUACAAACAUCUGGCUUCUCUAGGUCACCACUGUAUCUCUCCAGAAACCACUGUAUAUGUGACAUUGCAAAAAGUUUGUGUUGUCUCUGUUACUCAUUUACAGGCAUGCCCAGGAUUAGGGGUCACUACAAAAAUUUCCACUUGGUCAGCUGAAAAAAAUUUGCAGUCCUUCAUGGACAACAAUACAGUGAGGGAUUUUUUUUUUUUUUUAAAGGUUUGAAAAUUGUUAGAACAAAGUAAAACAAUUCCACUUUUAAUCAGUGUUGAAUUAUAGUUAAAAAAUGCAGAAGAAUUUGAAGAGAUUAACAAGCAAAUAAAUCAUUACAAAAAAUAGUUAGGCUCACCAUUGUAAAAAGUGUUCUAAAUUUCCUGGUUAUUGAAAAGUAAUGUGCAUUUUGAUUUAUUUUCUUGUUUGAGA